AACUUAUCAAGAAAGGUGGAGGGUUCUGGCCCCGUGAAGCCUUGGCAACCGGAUUUUUCACGGUGCCAAAUCCAGCAGGUAACACUGACAGAUAAGGC
rfam:Listeria monocytogenes EGD-e, complete genome